CUCUAUAAAGCGGGUCUCCGCACUGGCCUUUCAGCCUUGGGUCCAGGACUGUCUUCUCAAGACCAGUCUUUGCCUGAGGAAGAAACCUAGAAGAGGAGGAAGAAGAAAGAACAGGAGUCAGGCAUGGCUCUUUCUCAGGUAAGGUCAUAUUCUC
rnacentral:lncRNA from 1 species